UUUGCACCAGGCCUUGGUAGAAAUCAACAGAGACAGGGAUUCAGGCAUGUCAAUGUGCCAGAGUGGUGGCUUUCCACACAAGAGGACAACCCCAUAUUUUUGGGUUUAGAAGGACUUCACAACAUAUCUCCCUGACAUUUGUUUGUUGGCUGAUUUAUUGCACCGAGUGCCAGCCUGACUUCCUGCCAUCAGUAACACAGCGCUGUCAAUAUCUGGGCAUUGAGAUCAUUUGUCUGGCUGGUUCAUCUAUUCUUGGAGUGCUUUCUCACUUAGGAGUGAACGCUCCCAUAAAGAACUGUCUCUAACACACAGCAAAAGCAUUAUAAACUACUGGUGGAAAGCAAUGGUGCGAUGGAGUUGCUGGUCCCAUAGCACCCUCCCAUGAUGGCCAAAGAGACCGGCCAUGGUUAUCAAGCCCUGGUGCCAGCUCCCCCAGCACUGCCACAUGCCUGGGGAUACUCAGGUCAGUGCUGCUGUAAGUGACUUGUGCCAGCCUUACAUGAAGCAACAUUUCUGGGGUCUCAGCAGGGAAGUGAAGCUUCAGGUUGAGCUCUCUCCACUCGAAGGAAGCGUCACCCUUAGGAGAUGCCGAUUCUUUUGCCCAGUGCAGGGAACAGAGCUUGAAAGUCUGAAAGGAGCCGUGGUCAUGUCGUUGCUUGAGAGAGACAUAACUGGGAGGAACUGGGCAAUCAAGACAGAAAAAGUACAGCUUCCAAAUGUGUAUCGUCAUCCGGUUAAUUCCUGCCUCUCCCCCUGCUGCCUCCUCUGCUGAUGCUCCAGUCCCCACUUCAAUACCUGCCAGGUCCUCUUAGAGAGCUGACAUUUCCAUUCCUGACAUUUUCUGCAGCUCCAUCUGGGAAUUAAUGGCCGGAUAUUAGCAGCGAUGGGGCCGUUUAUCAUAAUUAGUCUCAUGAAGCUACGAAGCAUCCAACUAUUUUUCAUCAGCGCCGAGGAAAUAAACUGCAGAAUCCAGUAGAUGCGACGGACGAUUUAUUUAUUGAUUGAUUUAUUUUGGUCUGUCAGGAUGCAGCUUUAAAGUUUGCCGAGAUGAGCAAUGCUUCUCCGAGGCGAUGACGACAGUGAGGCUGCUCGCCUUGGGUACACAAGCAGCAGGAAAAAGGCCUUGAACCCCUCUGAGGCAGUGAGGAGGCAUUCGGUACCCUACAUCCGCUCUGCUGCUAUGAAAUGACAAGUGGCAACAGGUUGAGCCCUGCCUUGACAAGCCCAAGAGGAGAGAGCCACCAGCCAGGUGAUGGCAUCAGGAAUGGAAGACAUCUCAAGCAGCAGAAAGCCCUCCAGAAAACCUGCGACCAGAGCCAUGGUGUGUUGAUCAGUGCAGCUCGCCCUUAGCAUGGCUCUCUUCCUUCCUCCAGACCUCAUAGCGCCUCAGGAGAAGGUAAACCAUAGAAUCUUAGGCUCAUGGAAUCAUUAAAGGUUGUAAAGACCACGAGGUCAUCAUGUCUAACUGUCCGCCCAUGCCUGUGACCUUCCUAGACCAUGUCACUCAGUGUGACAUCUAUUGUUUUCUGG
rnacentral:lncRNA from 1 species